rnacentral:rRNA from 1 species
GACGAACGCUGGCGGCGUGCUUAACACAUGCAAGUCGAACGGAAAGGCCCUGCUUUUGUGGGGUGCUCGAGUGGCGAACGGGUGAGUAACACGUGAGUAACCUGCCCUUGACUUUGGGAUAACUUCAGGAAACUGGGGCUAAUACCGGAUAGGAGCUCCUGCUGCAUGGUGGGGGUUGGAAAGUUUCGGCGGUUGGGGAUGGACUCGCGGCUUAUCAGCUUGUUGGUGGGGUAGUGGCUCACCAAGGCUUUGACGGGUAGCCGGCCUGGGAGGGUGGCCGGCCACAUUAGGACUGAGAUACGGCCCAGACUCCUACGGGAGGCAGCGGUGGGGAAUAUUGCACAAUGGGCGGAAGCCUGAUGCAGCAACGCCGCGUGCGGGAUGACGGCCUUCGGGUUGUAAACCGCUUUCGCCUGUGACGAAGCGUGAGCGACGGUAAUGGGUAAAGAAGCACCGGCUAACUACGUG